rnacentral:rRNA from 1 species
UAGUACGUGAAACCGUUCAGGGGUAAACCUGAGAAACCCGAAAGUUCGAAUGAGAAAAUUCAGUAUCUUACAUUUGGUCGAACAUAGCAUGUUAUGUGAUAAUUUUUUAAUGGCUUUACUGUCAUUAAUAUUACACUGAUGUGUUAUGCUAAUUUGGCUAUGGAGAUAUGCACUUUUUCUCUAGUAGGACGUUGCAACUCAUUGGAUGUUAAUCUAAGAACCCAUUGGCUAGCCUAUUUUAUAUAUAUUUCGGUAUAUGUGAUUUAGACCUUUGGACAUACUCUGAUUAACUGGUUCGAUGGUAUAUCAUAAUAUUGGGCCGCCUAUAUGGCAUUCAAACUAAUUUCAAGUGUGUAUGGAUCAAAUUUUGGCUAUCAGACCUAGUGCUGUUACCGAAACCAUUAUACUGUUGGAUUUUAGUAUAUUGAAUAGACCUUUUAUAUUGGUUUGCAACGCUUUAGCUUUGGGUACUUUCAGGACCCGUCUUGAAACACGGACCAAGGA